GCCGGGGUAGCUCAGUUGGUAGAGCAACUGAUUCGUAAUCAGUAGGUCGGUGGUUCGACUCCACUCCUCGGCA
rnacentral:tRNA from 1 species